UUUAUGAAGACCUGAAAGACCUUCUAGAGCUAACACCCAAAAAAGAUGUCCUUUUCAUUAUAGAGGACUGGAAUGCAAAAGUAGGAAGUCAAGAAACACCUGGAUGACCUCCCGGGAGCGGGGGGCCACCAGGUUGCCUAAGGAGGGGUGAACCGGCCCAGGUCGGAAACGGAGCAGGUCAAAACUCCCGUGCUGAUCAGUAGUGGGAUCGCGCCUGUGAAUAGCCACUGUACUCCAGCCUGGGCAAUAUAGCGAGACCCUGUCUCU
rnacentral:sRNA from 2 species